UAUACAGCAGGAUCUCAUUGCUUAUCCUUUCCAAAGGCAAUAGUUUUCUAUUAACCCCAAGCUCCCAAUGAAUCCCACUCCCUUCCCCUCCUCCUUGGCAACCACAGGAAAAUCAAAAUUCUUUAGGCAAACAGUAACAAACAUAGAUCUGUGAGAUCUGAACCUACAGGCCAAGGGCAUCUUUCUUGUAGUUUGGCAGAACUUGAUUUUGUUCAUUUUCCUUCUAUAAAGACGCCAUGUCAAUAGGUAUAUAAAUUCAUUGUACUUAUAAAAGCAGGGGUAAAUAAUCAUCCCCCUAGGGAAUUGUUCAGGUUUUUGUUGUUGUUGUUCCUAUCUGAGAGUUGAAGGGACAAGGAAAGAAAGAAUAUGGAAACGGUUCUAGAGGGUUGUAAGGGAGAAGCCUUUCUUCUUGCCUUUCAGCCUCAGCCCUCCCCAGAUGGGGGGCAGAGAAAAGCCAAUUCAGUGACGAGGAAAUGUUUAAUGAACUUCUUAGAAUACCCCACCAACUGCCUGAAUUAACCAAAUGUGCACCAAGCUGAUAAUAGAGAAACUACCGGCCUUAGCUUUGAGUGGCCUUGGUUCUCCCCACCCCCACCCCCAUGUAAAACAGUUUCUUUCUCCCUGUAACACAAUUUCUUUCCCCAGGACAUUUUCAGUGGAAGAUAAUGCACAGAAGGUGUACAAUACCACUGGUUGUCAAAGAAGCGAAGCCAGGGUCCCUUCUAGUGGGUGCAUCAGAAGUUAGAGAGAUGAAAAUCCAAAAAAUCCUAUAGCACCGCUUCCUGUGAUCUCUAACCCAUCACAAUUGAAAUGACAAGCGUUGAAAUGGGAGCCUCACGGUGGCGCCCUCUGCCUUUGCCGGCCUCUUCUGCAGCAGGGAGCGGCUCUCGCUGCCCAGUGCCAGUUCUCAAACUUGAAUGAUGCCUGGACCCCUUUAAAAAAAGAUGGAAUCAUCUUCACACACCCUACCACACAUCAGAGGAGACUUCUCUGGGAAACACUGACUUAAAAAUUAGGAUCUUAUAUUCAACAUCAAUAUCUUUCAAUUGAGAUUUAUAACUGCAAAGAAAAAGUUCUGUCUUUAUAACUGCUAAAUGGUUGAUUUUUAAGAAUCUUUAUACUGUUGUUGAAAGAAAAUAAUUAAAAAUACUUUCAACUUCCUAAAAGUCUCAGGAUCCUGAAUACAUGUCCAUGGGCUGCUGUUUGAAAACCUACUUUGCCUUUUGCAAGGACACGCCUCACUUGCUGGC
ensembl:lncRNA